UGGUCAGAACCUGCUGAAUACCACCUCUGAUGUUGAGGCUGAAAAGUGGAUUAAAAAUCCUGGAAUCCAAUGUGAAUUUAUCCUUUCUCUGACACUAACAGAACUGGCAGAGAAACUCAGAGAGGAAAAGCUUUCUUCAGAGAGUGUCUUGUAUACCUAUAUAAAAAGGGCUCUUGAAGUAACCCAGGAGGUGAACUGUGUGACAGAUUUUCUUCACGGAUGUGAGGAACAGCUCCAGGACCUGAAGAAGCAAAAAGAGAAAGGCUUGCUGUAUGGAAUUCCUGUCAGCAUUAAGGAUCACAUUGGAUAUAAGGUGCAUCUUCCUUUAUCUUUUGAAAUACUUGCUGCUCAAAAAGUGUCAGAAAUAUCAAGAAGGGGAUGUUGCUUAAAAUAUUUCCUCAUCUUUAGCUAAAAUACAGGGCAUUCUAGUUUCAAUUCAAUUGCUACAGAGCAGUGGUGGGUUU